AGUUCUAUACUUUAAAAUAAAAGACCUGAUUUGCAAUCAACCAUUGAGUCCAACUCUAGAACUA
rnacentral:tRNA from 3 species